UUGUAAUUUUUCAGGUUGUUGAACUCACCAGGGAGGACAUGAGCAGAGAGAGAGGAAGUGCAGAGGACACUCUAUGCACCAGUUUCAGCAGAGCCCAAGUGAUUUCUCAGCCUGCACUUCUGAACCCCUGCAUCCUGGAGGUUUUAUUUCUCCUAUGUGGAUCAAGAAGAUUCUUGAACACAGCUUUGAAGGCAGAAAGAGAGAAGGGAAGGCAAAGGGAGAGUACUGGGGAUUGAAAUGGAGAAAAGCAUGUUAACCGCAUUUAUUCAUAUGUCAAAAUGAACUGCAUC
rnacentral:lncRNA from 1 species